ACCGGCCUGUUUAGCACAACUGUGCUGGGAGGCUCCUCCAGUGCCCCCAACCUCCAGGACUACGCCCGCAGCCAUGGCAAAAAGUUUGCCAGCAGCCUGACAUACAAAGACGAGCUCUUGUCUAUGCCAGCCGUAAAACGAUUUUCUGUGUCGUUUGCAAAGCAUCCGACUAAUGGCCUUGCACAGAAACUUCUGAAAAGGUU